rnacentral:lncRNA from 1 species
UUGUCUUGGAAUUUCAUGAGGCAGAGAAACAAAACUUUGACAGUUAUCAUGUGAUUUUUCCCCUGAAAUAUGCCACCACAUAUUAAAAUUGAGGAAUCAUAUUUAUCCUAUCUGCUGUAGAGGUGAGCUUCUCUGACCAUAGCUCUGAAAAUCACCAUUACUAUCCUUUGUGAAGAACCCUGAGAGCCAGUCAUAAAAGAUAUAAAUGAUACUGCAUGGCCUGAGAGCCCGAUGCUUUGCAGACUCCUGGCAUUGUGUAUAAGAAAAGUGUUCCAAUAAUAAAAUCAUGGCAAUAUUACUCCUUUCUCACAACAAUAUUUUUA